AGGAUAAACGCUGGCGGCGUGCCUAACACAUGCAAGUCGAACGUCCUACGCAAGUAGGGAGUGGCGGACGGGUGAGUAACACGUGGGCAAUCUACCUUUCGGUGAGGAAUACCGGCGAGAAAUCGCCGACAAUACCGCAUACGCUUCGCAAGAAGCAAAGUCGCAAGACGCCGGAGGAGGAGCCUGCGCCCGAUUAGCUGGUUGGUGAGGUAAGAGCUCACCAAGGCGACGAUCGGUAGCUGGUCUGAGAGGAUGAUCAGCCACACUGGGACUGAGACACGGCCCAGACUCCUACGGGAGGCAGCAGUGGGGAAUCUUGCGCAAUGGGCGAAAGCCUGACGCAGCAACGCCGCGUGGGGGAUGAAUGCCUUCGGGUUGUAAACCCUUUCAGUGGGAACGAAAUUGACGGUACCACAGAAGAAGCCCCGGCCAACUACGUGCCAGCAGCCGC
rnacentral:rRNA from 1 species